GGGGCUGACCGGUUUUGACAGCUGGAUGAAUCGUUCCGUAAGCAUGCCGAGCGUCGUUAGUCAGGCUCGUUAAUCCCGGCUUUCAAAGAUUAGUUGGCAACACCAACUACGCGUUGGCUGCUUAAUCAGACCGAUUAACCAGAUCCGACUGUUUCCUGGAGACCUGCUCACCCGUCUCCUGUACGGAAGCAUCGCAUGGUGAGUGGGCAGACGCAAGGUUCCGUAGCGGCUGCCGAGAUCAACGGGACUAAGCCUGCAGGUCGCCAUCGUCCGGCAGCCGGCGGGUCGAAAAUCAAAGGCCGAUAAGCAUGUAGAAAGCGGGGUUAUUCCCGGUUUGGACGCGGGUUCGACUCCCGCCAGCUCCACCU
rnacentral:tmRNA from 1 species